rnacentral:rRNA from 1 species
UAACUGAAGAGUUUGAUCAUGGCUCAGAUUGAACGCUGGCGGCAGGCUUAACACAUGCAAGUCGAGCGGGGUGAUGUAGCUUGCUACCUAACCUAGCGGCGGACGGGUGAGUAAUGCUUAGGAAUCUGCCUAUUAGUGGGGGACAACAUUCCGAAAGGAAUGCUAAUACCGCAUACGCCCUACGGGGGAAAGCAGGGGAUCUUCGGACCUUGCGCUAAUAGAUGAGCCUAAGUCAGAUUAGCUAGUUGGUGGGGUAAAGGCCUACCAAGGCGACGAUCUGUAGCGGGUCUGAGAGGAUGAUCCGCCACACUGGGACUGAGACACGGCCCAGACUCCUACGGGAGGCAGCAGUGGGGAAUAUUGGACAAUGGGCGCAAGCCUGAUCCAGCCAUGCCGCGUGUGUGAAGAAGGCCUUUUGGUUGUAAAGCACUUUAAGCGAGGAGGAGGCUACUGGUAUUAAUACUACCGGAUAGUGGACGUUACUCGCAGAAUAAGCACCGGCUAACUCUGUGCCAGCAGCCGCGGUAAUACAGAGGGUGCGAGC